AUUGAACGCUGGCGGCAUGCCUUACACAUGCAAGUCGAACGGCAGCACGGGUGCUUGCACCUGGUGGCGAGUGGCGAACGGGUGAGUAAUACAUCGGAACAUGUCCUGUAGUGGGGGAUAGCCCGGCGAAAGCCGGAUUAAUACCGCAUACGAUCCACGGAUGAAAGCGGGGGACCUUCGGGCCUCGCGCUAUAGGGUUGGCCGAUGGCUGAUUAGCUAGUUGGUGGGGUAAAGGCCUACCAAGGCGACGAUCAGUAGCUGGUCUAGAGGACGACCAGCCACACUGGGACUGAGACACGGCCCAGACUCCUACGGGAGGCAGCAGUGGGGAAUUUUGGACAAUGGGCGAAAGCCUGAUCCAGCAAUGCCGCGUGUGUGAAGAAGGCCUUCGGGUUGUAAAGCACUUUUGUCCGGAAAGAAAUCCUUGGCUCUAAUACAGUCGGGGGAUGACGGUACCGGAAGAAUAAGCACCGGCUAACUACGUG
rnacentral:rRNA from 1 species